rnacentral:lncRNA from 1 species
AAAUCAAUUUCAUUAUCGUUUUUUGUACUCAAUUCAUCCAUAGACGACCUCAAGGGAUAAUCUUUAUUCUUCAUUUCUUAGAAACAAUCUAUUAUUGAAUGAUAUACACACAAAUAGUUCAAUUGUUGUGAUUGCGACAAACGAAACAGCGAAAUCAAGAAUAUUCACUCUGUAGUCCAAUUCCAACCACUUUAAAGACUUUUUAACAAAAUAAUAA